AAAUAUCAGGUUUGAACUCCCCUCUCAUUUGUAACUUAUAUUGUGGAUCGAUGUGCCUCAUUUAUACCAAAAAAAAAUUAUGAACGAACUGUGAUGCUAUCACUUGGUCCGACACAUAUACAUAGUCAUGUAGAUCAAAAACCUCAAAACCUAAUGGUCAUUCGAUCAAAACUCAAAAGUGAACGUACAAUGUUAGUUUGUUUGCCGUGAACUCCAAGUCCAAUGCCCUUUGGAAUUUAAAAAAUCAAAAAGAAAAAGAAAAAGAAAAAGAAAAAGAAAAAGAAAAAGAUGUGCCCACCGAUUUAAAUACCUUGUGAAAUACGGAGUAUAAAUACCAAUUAUUCCCAUUAUCUAACUAAGAAGGCGGCUAGGUCAUUGACAAGGUAUUGGGACGACAUUUCAACAGAUCGAUCAAAUGGAGUUGCAAGGUAUCGUACCUCGAUCACGAUUACGAUUCAUCAUUUUGUCCGAAUAAACCACACGGGUAAUGUAGAUGAUGAUGAUCAACCGCCAAGUACGCUAGUUCGUCAAUUUUAUUUUCCCAAAGUCGAUAUGUUUUACCCAGAUCCUGAUUUGCUAGCAAAGCUAAACAAGGCCAAGGAGUUAAAGAAACAACUUCUUGCGGAGAAAACAAGUUUGUCCCGAAAAAUACGAUCUUUAAAGCAUAAUAUAGAAGUAUUGUAUCUGGGCGAUAAUGGUCGUCAAUAUUGGUACCAAGAUGAAAUCCGCACGAUUAAAGAAUGCCGAAGUUUACUUUUCAAGCAUUGGCCUGAAACCAUGGUAACUGAACGAAGACCUCGAGGAAGAAUCAGAUCCGGCAAUAGAGUGGGGUGAAAUCUCAGAGAGAAUUGAGUCUCCAAUUAGGUCAUGGGAAGACCAAUUGGGCAGAGGAGAAACGAAUUCUGAAAGAGUUUGAACCUCUUCAAACAAGGAGGGUUGUUAUUGAGCCCAAAGCUAAACAAUCGGAAACCACAUUUUAUUUGAAAGGAAAACGUUUUCGUUGGCAUUAUUCUAAGUCUGAUAUGAAACGCAUGUAUCGUGAAUCUUUGAAGCGUAUCCGAAAACAUGAUCCAUAUUUUUGGGAUGAACAAAAACAGGAAGAACGCGAAAAACAAGUCAAUAAAAUUCAGAAGCAACUUACAUAUUUCACGAAGUUGCACGACAUUGUCAUGGAAAAGGAACAAAGGGCUACUACAUCCAUUUCCAAACUUAAAAGUCAAAUAAAAUCAAAUCAGGUUUAGGUUACAUUUAAUUGUUAAUUGUUAUUAAUUCAUAGAUUUAUAUACUUCAUAGGAAAUGAAAUCAGGUUUCUCUGUUGAUACCGUUAGAUAAUAGUCUUUCAAUUUUUACUUGUGGGACACAUGGAAGAAAUAUGUUAUUUUGUAUAUCCUUAAAUAUACCCAUGUGCAUCAUAUAAUGAAUAUGUGGUGGCUUGAGUUAUUAGGCCAAGCGGGGCUUUGGGCUUGAGAUUAACGUUUAAUAUUUUGCAAUAUGGUUAUUUUGGUAUUUGCCUAUUAUUUUCCUAUUUAACCAAAGACAUGAGAUUAACGUUUGAGUAAGUUUUAUCAUAUUUUUCACAAUGUCAGUUUUCUUCAAAAACACAUGUUCAUGGAAAUGGUAUUUAACAUAUACUAUGAGAUUUAUAUAUGUUGUA